rnacentral:lncRNA from 1 species
UAGGGGUAAAAAAAUGUAAGCCUAUAUUCUUUUUUUCACAUGAUCUCCCUCACUCGGGUUAAAGGAAUUGCUUUAGUAAGGAAGAGAACAUUUCCCAAUAUGUUUGACUUUUUUUUUUUUUUUUUUUUUUUUUUCCCAGAUUCAUACCUUAUAACUUUGGCAAGAUAUUAUUGAUCAAUAUGUCUGCAAAACUGCCAUGAUUCAGGACUUUUUUCUUCAGUUCUUAAUGGUGGAUAAAGUGGCUAUGUUGAAUUAUUAUCAAUGAGAGAAGAUGAAGAUAUCCAUGCGAUGGUGGCUGUGAGGAAAAUGAGAUAGCAUUGGUGUAUGGGAUGGAAAGCAAAUGUGGAUCAAAUCCAAAAUCUUUGUCUACACCUCAGUGGUAAUCUGCAGAAGUUCUGUAAAGGAGGUCUUCCAUGGAAUUUUUCAGAAUGCAAAGAAGGUGUCCAGCAUGUCAUAAAGGAAUUGUGCUGAGGAGUUAGAAUAGCACUCUUAUAGGUAUGUACCCUGUUUGUGUACAUGCCAGUGAACCAGAAUACUGUUUAUCAUCUUGAAUGCUUGCUUCUGGCUUCAAGCUUCACUUGCACUGAUAUGCAGCUGUUAUAGUCAACAUGCUGACACUUGCAGCUUGACUUAUUGCUUGAAUUUUAUGGAGAAAACUUUAUAUUUCUUGUCGCUUUGUUUUCCUGAAGUUUUCCUUGAAGGAUCAGCAUAAAUAUAAUGGAGUCAAACCCAUUUCUACAGCUCUCAUUCCUGUCUCAGACAACCUUAGCAAACAUAACAAAUGUAGAAUUUUAG